AUACGAAAGGUGCAAGCGUUGUUCGGAUUUACUGGGCGUAAAGAGAGUGUAGGUGGUUUAUUAAGUCGGAUGUGAAAUCCCGGGGCUCAACCUCGGAACUGCAUUCGAUACUGAUAGGCUAGAGUUUGGGAGGGGUAAGCGGAAUUCCGUGUGUAGCAGUGAAAUGCGUAGAUAUACGGAGGAACACCUGAGGCGAAGGCGGCUUACUGGACCAAUACUGACACUGAGACUCGAAAGCGUGGGUAGCAAACAGGAUUAGAAACCCUUGUAGUCC
rnacentral:rRNA from 1 species